UGCAGAUGGGAUGUGGCGGGAAGGAGAGGCCCAGAGUCUAGGAGGCUGUGGGAAGUUGGCCUGCUACAGCUGCUGAAAGGGGCCCUGGUUUCAGGCUUCCAGACGCCAGGACUGCGGGAAUGCAUUCUUGCUGGUGGUGAGCCCUGCAGUUUUUGGCAUUUGUUACAGCAGCUGAGCUGGCUGAGAUGCGUGCAUUGCUCCUUUGCAUGCUGAGCAGCUGGAGACCUGCUGUCUGCGCUGAUUGAGUUCUUACAGGUUUUAAAGCAAAGGAAAAAGGGCUGCAGGUACA
rnacentral:lncRNA from 1 species